CGCGGCCUAUCAGCUUGUUGGUGGGGUAAUGGCCCACCAAGGCAACGACGGGUAGCCGGCCUGAGAGGGUGACCGGCCACACUGGGACUGAGACACGGCCCAGACUCCUACGGGAGGCAGCAGUGGGGAAUAUUGGACAAUGGGCGAAAGCCUGAUCCAGCAACGCCGCGUGAGGGAUGACGGCCUUCGGGUUGUAAACCUCUUUCAGCGGGGACGAAGCGCAAGUGACGGUACCCGCAGAAGAAGCACCGGCCAACUACGUGCCAGCAGCCGCGGUAAUACGUAGGGUGCGAGCGUUGUCCGGAAUUGUUGGGCGUAAAGGGCUCGUAGGCGGUUUGUCGCGUCGGGAGUGAAAACUCAGGGCUUAACCCUGAGCCUGCUUCCGAUACGGGCAGACUAGAGGUAUGCAGGGGAGAACGGAAUUCCUGGUGUAGCGGUGAAAUGCGCAGAUAUCAGGAGGAACACCGGUGGCGAAGGCGGUUCUCUGGGCAUUACCUGACGCUGAGGAGCGAAAGUGUGGGGAGCGAACAGGAUUAGAUACCCUGGUAGUCCACACCGUAAACGUUGGGCGCUAGGUGUGGGACUCAUUCCACGAGUUCCGUGCCGCAGCUAACGCAUUAAGCGCCCCGCCUGGGGAGUACGG
rnacentral:rRNA from 1 species